GCUGAUCCCUCCUCCCGCGCUUUUCCCUGACGUCAUCUCGAGGUGCCCGCUCUUUCCGCCAUGGCCGCCGCAGCAGCAGGUCCAUGCUCUUUUCUUAUUGCAAGUAUUCUGGUUUAUACAAACUCCAAAACUUCUGUGAUGAACACGAGUCAUUUAUCAGUGAUCACAGGGGGAUUCAGGAAACCGCCAGCAAGAAGGAAAGUGGAUUCAAGGGACCUGCCACCGUAAUUAGCCCCAUUUCUGUUAAUGAAGGCCACCAAGGAGCCCCUCAUCUGCCAGGGCUGGAAGUCCCUGGCAAUGCCGUGACCUGAGGCGCAGCCGCGUGGUGGCAGGAUGGAUUUGUGGGCACCACCUGCCCAGGCUCCCUCUGUGGUGAUCCAGAAGAAGCCGCCAGGAAGGAGACAGUGGGUGUCGCUGUAAUUAAGGCAGUCGUGGUUAAUUAGCUGCCGGCAGGAGGUGUGUGUGUGUGUGUGUGUGUGUGUGU